AGCCAUGUGAGUUUUAUGCUUGGCGUUUUCUGCUCAAUGAGUAUUUAAAUAGCCGCAGUACCCUGACUGUGCAAAGGUAGCAUAAUCAGUUGGCUUAUAAUUGAAGUCUGGCAUGAAGGAAUAAAUGGGUAAGUGCUGUCUCUACAGGGAAGUAAGAAUUUACUUAGUAAGUGAAAAUACUUACAUUUAGACAAAAGACGAGAAGACCCUAGAAAUUUUUUGGAGUAUUGCAGCCUAACUGCAACCUCAUUUUACUGGGGCGGUAAAGUAACAAUAUAACUUACUUAAGCUAAUUAGAAGUUUUUUUACAGGAAAAAUAUAAUUACUCUAGGGAUAACAGCAUAAUUCUAAGGAGCUUGUGACCUCGAUGUUGGACUAGGGCCCACAAUAUUCAGAAGAUGUUGUCGCACGUUCUGUUCGAACGACUUUCCCCUACAUG
rnacentral:rRNA from 1 species